CCACAGAGUCAGCAGCCAGGGACCGGAAUUUGUCCCGCACAUACCGCGAGAGGCAGUUCCCAAGGCCGAAAGGCGUGGACAGCACCCACGACAUGAACUCCUGGACCUUCACCCCCUUCCCACCGCUGGAGACGUCCCAGCCCCAAACGCCUGCAUCAUCCGUGACGACGCCCGCCGAGACGAGCGCCGACAGCACCAGGUGCGUCACGUCCGGGAGGAGCACCGUGACGGGCUCCGAUUUAUCUCCUCCGUCACUGACCACCCUCGAGGCCGAAGCGCUCCACGCCAUGACCCAGCACACCCAGAGGAACACUGCGAUCUCCUCCGGCGCGAGCUCCCCCACGACCUUCCCAUCCUCGUCACCACCGCCCUCGUCCGGCUGGAGCUGGACGCCGCAGGGUGCCCCCGCGCCGGCGCAGGCGGCAGCGUACACGCGGAGGAGCAGUGCGAGCGAGCGGGAGGCCGUCACGCGCGCGCAGCAGCGGUUGAACCCCCUGAGGAACUGGACCCACCCGGCGCCCCCGUCCGUCACCGCGGCAGCUCCGUGGCCGAAGAAUUGGGAGGCGAUGGCGGGGCCGAGCCCCCCGAGGAUGCCGUGGAAGUGCGGCGGCGGCGGCGCCGGGGAUCCGGGCAGACGAAAGGAGGCGGGCGGCGGCGCGAGGGCAUCCGGCAGCGCGUUGGCGGCGGAGCGGGAGAAGGCGGCGCGGAGGAGCGGGAGGGAGAGGGCGGCGGAGGCGAGAGUCUCCUGCUCCCGCUGCUCGUGCGCCUCUGGGGACGGGUUGCCAGUCGAGGAGGACGCGCCCAUGGCCGGCGAGGUGUCGGUGCCGCGGCGAAACGGCGAUGCUGGAUGGGGAUUGCUGAGGCGCGCGGGUGGGGAGAAUGGUGGCGUGGAAAGGCGGAAAGCUUGGAGACCACCUAGACCUAGCCGACCCUUGGGAAGUCCGAUGGGGCGGAGAUCGGAG
rnacentral:misc_RNA from 1 species